rnacentral:rRNA from 1 species
AUGAUGUCCAUAUUACAUACCAACAACAUGGUACGUCCUCUGUUAGCCAUCCUCCUCCUGUCAUCAGCUUUGAACCACUUGUCAUCUGCUGCAACACUAGCUGAUAGUAGCACCCACACCAGCAGAGAUGCUCUGCUCUGCCUCAAGUCCCGCCUUGGCGGUACCACACUGGCCAUGGCUACGUGGAACGACGGUGCCUCACCGGAUUUCUGCACUUGGCUUGGGGUCACAUGUACAAGGAGGAAAGGGCAACCACCCCUCGUGGUGGACUUGGAUAUGGAAGCCGAAGGACUCUCCGGUGAGAUCCCACCAUGCAUCUCCAACCUCACUUCUCUGGUAAGAAUCCACUUGCCCAACAACCAGCUCUCCGGCCAUAUCCCGUCGGAACUUGGUCGGCUCUCUGGACUCAGGUACCUCAACCUCAGCGUCAACACGCUCAGCGGCACCAUCCCUCUCAGUCUUGGUGCGCUUCACAACCUUUCUUCUCUAGACUUGGGUAGCAAUGGACUAUCCGGUGAAAUUCCACCUUUCAUGAAGUCAAAGCUCACAUACCUAAGUCUAGUCGGAAACAGCCUUACCGGAGUCGUGUCGCCAUCGAUGGCAAAUCUCUCAUCCCUUACAUACCUCUUGCUUGCGCAAAACCAGUUGCAAGGAUCCAUUCCUGAUUUGGGUGAGCUGUCAAGCCUACAAAACCUUGAUCUCUCCUACAACAAUCUAUCAGGGACAGUACCGCCCUCCAUUUACAAUUUGUCCUCAUUAAACUACCUUGGGUUGUCCAACAAUAAUCUUGGAGGAACACUACCUUCUGGUAUGGGCAACACACUUCCUAACAUCCAAAUACUGAUGAUGCAUAAUAAUCAUUUUGAGGGGGCUAUCCCAGCCUCGCUGCAGAAUGCCUCCAGCAUGACGAGUAUCCAUCUAGGCAACAACUCUUUGACUGGGGUGAUUCCUUCUUUUGGCUCCAUGCCAAACUUGAAGCAUGUAAUGUUGUACUCAAAUCAGCUAGAAGCCGGGGACUGGGCAUUCUUCUCCUCCUUAGCAAAUUGUACACGUUUGCAGCAACUGAACUUGGGUAGAAACAACCUUCAGGGAGAUUUACCACCGAAUUCCAUAGAGAAUCUGCCCAAAAGCUUGACCGCUCUAACUCUUCGGUCAAACAACAUCUCUGGCACCAUUCCCUUGGAGAUUGGAAACUUGUCUAAUCUUGCCAUGCUCUAUCUUGAUAGAAAUCUUUUCGGUGGGCCUAUACCUUCUACCCUUGGUCAACUAAGCAAUCUUGUCGUGCUUAGCCUAUCACAGAACAAUUUUUCUGGGGAAAUACCUCCUUCCGUUGGAAGCCUACACCAGCUGCAAGAGCUCUAUUUGCAUGAAAAUCAAUUGAGUGGAAGCAUACCUACAAGUCUAGCCAGCUGUGAGAACUUACUUGCAUCAAACCUUUCAUGUAAUACCCUUGGUGGAAGCAUAAGUGGAGACAUGUUGGGCAAGUUGAAUCAGUUGAGUUGGCUACUUGAUUUAUCACACAACCAACUCGCAAUGUCCAUACCAGUAGAGAUGGGUAGCUUGAUAAACCUUGGUUCCUUGAACAUCUCCCACAACAAUCUCACGGGAAGAAUACCGUCCACAGUCGGUGCUUGUGUCCGAUUGGAAGCGCUUCGUGUAGAAGGGAACCUCCUACAAGGAAACAUCCCACAAUCACUAGCAAACCUGAAAGGCAUGCAAAUGUUUGAUUUCUCCAACAACAACCUAUAUGGUACAAUUCCAGAGUUCCUCGAGACCUUCACCUUGUUGCAGUAUCUGAAUAUGUCCUUCAACAACUUGGAAGGAUCAGUCCCCACAGGUGGAGUGUUUGCUAACACAAGUGGUAUUUUUGUCCAAGGAAAUCCACACCUUUGUUCAAAUGGUGCAUUAAGAGAGCUUCCUAGAUGCUUUGCUUCAGCAUCCACAAAAAAGCAAAAGUAUUUUGUUCCUAUGAUGAUAGCUCUGUCAGCUCUUGUCGCACUUGCCUUAAUCUUGGGGGUGUUCAAUUUUUGGUUGAGAAGGAGAUACACAUCCGGUGAGAGAAUUGGCCAUUCAUACAUGGAGUUGAAAAGGAUAACAUACGGUGACGUAAUCAAAGCAACAGAUAGUCUUUCUCUAGCCAAUGUGGUCGGCUCCGGCAAUUUGGGACUGUCUACAAAGGUUGGUUCGACGCGGAAGAUGGUACGGUUGCUGUUAAAGUCUUCAAGCUCAAUCAGCAUGGCGCAUUGCAUAGCUUCAUUGCCGAGUGCAAAGCUUUGCAACACAUCCGCCAUCGGAACCUCGUGA